ACAGCAUUGAUGAUUUUCCCCUUGGCUUUAUGAUGCUCUUUUGGAUGCUUUCGCUCAAAAAGAGUCACUCUAGUUUUGUUUCUGAUGACUGCUCAGGGGUGAUGUCUGGCCAGUCAGAAGUUGAAAGUGAUAAGCUUUGCUAAAUGGUUGGACUUAGUGUCAUUCAUUGAACAGAAGCUUAUUACAUUCUUACUCUCCACUGUGAUAGAUGUUAGGAGCAAAAAGAUAGAGAAGAUGCAUUCUUGAUGACUCACAAUUUGGAGGACAAGAGAGCUGUGCAAUGAGAUGUCCAAUUGUUCCAACACCAUUUGCUGAGAAAGUUAUCGUACAUCUAUUGAAUUGCUUUUACACCUUUUUCAAAAUCAGGUUCACCUUGAUGAAUCCGUUGGAGAGGGGCCAUGGCUCCCAGACAUCUUCUUCCUAUUCUGAAUUCCUACAAAAUGUAUAACAAGAGUUUGUACCGCACUGUCUUGUAUAAUAGCAGCUCAGACUGUCCUUGGACUGUAAGCAGUUUGGUUCCCCAACCAAACAGAAAUGUCCUUGACUUCAAGGACCAGCUUUCUGGCUUCUUUUAUACCCUUUACAACAGUUUUACUAUUUUAUAGUUUGGGCAAAGGGGGAGGAAGAUAAAGUAGCUUGGCUAAAGCUGCACAGAAGAUCCAGUGAAACCAAGCACAGCAAGGAGUAACAUUUCCAGUUCACUGGGGCUGGGGCUGGAGACGCAAGGGAGGCACUCACCGCCCAUGUGACAUUUAAGGGAGCAUCAAAGAAUUGAGUAAGCAAAUGAAUACUAUUUUAAUGCAGUAUUUAAAAACUAAUCCAAAAAAUCCAUAAUGUGACAAAGUAUCAAAAUUUUAAAUAAAGACAGGAUGUUGUUGCUAGUCUCAUGACCCUGGAUUACUGUGCAAUGAAACAGUGGUUUCCAAUAGCCCAGGGUUCCCAGGCUGGUGCAGCUGCCCCUGUCCCCUUGCCCCCGACCAGGUGAGGUACAAUGGUUGACAAUGGCAACACUGGCUUUAGAUGGAGGCAUAUUUUUUGGUUGCAGAGAUUUAAUUAACUUUUUACCCUUGGUUCAAAAUAUGUAAGUCUAUUUUAGGUGCUUGUAAGGGUGCACAUUUUCCUUUUUCCGUGGCUCCUGUAGGACUCUUCAUGGCACUGCAAUUUAUAAUUUAGCAUAUAUCAUUUCAUUUCAUGCUCAAAAAAAAACCCCCGUGUAGAUGGUGUUAUCUUCAUUUUUGAGGAAAAGAAACUAGGCCCCAGGUUAAGUUGCUAACCCAACAAUACCCAGCUCGCCGGUGGUGGAGCUGGGACUCUGCUAUUGCCUGACCCAUGUCCUGACUCUACCCUGGCAGAUUGCCUUUGUACACACAACCCAACUCUCUGCUUCUCCUUCGCAGCUCUGUGCACUUGUGUCUGUCUCUGUCGUUUCCCGGGGGUGGGGGAGGUUUGCAAGUGCUUGUGUGAGUGUGAGUGUACAGAGAUAUGUGUUUGCUUGUGUGAGCACUUGUGUACACAUAUGUGUGCAUGCACACGUGUGUGCAUUCAGGGUAUAAGAAGAUGUGACACAGAGAACAGAAAACAUCCAAAGCAGGGCUGAGGAUGCUGCGUCCAGACAGAGUUCCCAUCUGACUGAUUUUGACUUGCGGAUCACAUUUGGAAAGCUGGCAUCAGCCCUAAAAGCUCAGAGGGGACUUUACUUCCUCCUCCAUCUGCAGGAACCAUUGCCAGGGCCAGUGGCAGGGAACAGCCCCUCCCUAGCCUGCCUCCCUUCUCAGGCUUUAUGGAGAAGGCUCAGAAUCUUGGCAGGUGCUGCAGAAGAAGUUGCCAGCCCCACAGCUACAAGAAUAAAAAUAAUGUGUUAUUUGGGUGAACCUCAGUCUGCCUUUUGCAAAGUGAGUGCCCGAAAGACCCCACACAUGUGCAGCCCAGUCUCUGGAGGUGUGAAUGCGCAGUGGGCUUUUUCUUGGGAUGCAUCAGGCACUGUUCUGUGGCAGGUAAACAUUCUCUGAAAUGCCAUCUCCUUCCCAAACCGAAGCCCAGCAUAAAAUCCUGAGAAUUCACUAUUAGCUAGUCCCCAAUCCUAUCCUAAUAAAGGGAGGACCACACACUGGCAGCUGGCAGCAGUUUCCCUGGCUAAAUAUUGUUCUACUCUGUGUUAGUUUUGACGGGAUUAGUCAUGGAAUCCUAAUAUAAAAGUCCCAGGAUCCCUGUUGGUUGGACAAUCUGUUAAAAUAUUGUUUUAAUUCGUGGCAGUUUGCAAGCCCGCGGAGCCCUGAGAGACAUUUUUAGGUCUAUUGUUUCUUGGCCAGCCUGUUUCAGAGCACGGCAGCUCAGACAGGGUGAGAAGCAGCUGCGUUGACUAAAAGGCUCUGGAGUGUUUGACGACACACCUUCACAAAGGCAGACAACAUAGGCAGGCCCAGGGCACACCCCACUGGGCAGGAGCCGGUGGUGGGGCUCGGCCUGGGUGUGUGUGUGCACAUGAGGAGCAGUGGGCGACCCAGAAUGUGAGCACACCUGUCGUGAAGGAAGGCUAUGAGAAGUUGGCUGGUGACAGCCUCAGGGAGGAAAGUCCAGUGCGUCUAACACUGCGCCCUGAAACACGGACCAUGCAGUCGUUGAAUGCUCAGUGCCAGGCUCCAAACAUGAGUGCUGACUCUUCCUUCAGCCCCUAACUAUGGGCUUUGCUUCCUUUGGGUUUUAGGCUGUCAUAAGGACUGUAAGGAGAAGCUGGUAGGCGGUUGGGCAGCUUGUGGG
ensembl:lncRNA